CCUUCGGUCUGUCAAGGGGAACUCCACAUUGUCCGGAAGGAAUGAAAAAGGAGCUGAUAUGCAGCCUGACUGAAUGCUUGACCUUUGAUCCCCAAUGCUUCAGUGUUUGGAGACAGUUAUACACAAAGCAUCUUUCACAAUCAAGCAUUUUGUUGAAUCAUCUCUUGAAUUCUUGGGGAAGCCUAUCAGGAAAGGUA